GAUGAACGCCAGCGGCAGGCCUAAUACAUGCAAGUCGAACGGUAACAUGGUCAGCAAUGACUGAUGACGAGUGGCGCACGGGUGCGUAACGCGUAUGCAACCGUACCUCUUACUGGGGAAUAGCCCGGAGAAAUCCGAAUUAACACCGCAUAAUAUAUUGUUGAGGCAUCUCAGUAAUAUUAAAUAUUUAGUAGGUAAGAGAUGGGCAUGCGUCCAAUAGUUAGUUGGUGAGGUAACGGCUCACCAAGACAAUGAUUGGUAGGGGUUCUGAGAGGAAGGUCCCCACACUGGUACUGAGAUACGGACCAGACUCCUACGGGAGGCAGCAGUAGGGAAUAUUGGGC
rnacentral:rRNA from 1 species